rnacentral:rRNA from 1 species
GGUGAAAUGCGUAGAUAUCUGGAGGAACAUCAGUGGCGAAGGCGACUCCCUGGCCAAAGACUGACGCUCAUGUGCGAAAGUGUGGGUAGCGAACAGGAUUAGAUACCCUGGUAGUCCACACCGUAAACGCUGUCUACUAGCUGUGUGUGUCUUUAAGACGUGCGUAGCGAAGCUAACGCGCUAAGUAGACCGCCUGGGGAGUACGGCCGCAAGGUUAAAACUCAAAUGAAUUGACGGGGGCCCGCACAAGCGGUGG